rnacentral:miRNA from 1 species
CUGGAGAUAUGGAAGAGCUGUGU